GGACCAGGGAAAGAGGUUGAGAAGAACUGGCCAGAGAGGCGGGAGGAGAACUAAGAGAAGAGCAAAGGCUAGACGGUGUUUCCAGGAGGAGGAGGCCGUCUAAGGUUCACUCGUCACAGAAGCAUCUCCAGAAAAGAAGCGAUCUCUCCUAUUUAUGAGCUCAACCAGGCAGUAACGCGGUUCCUUCAAAAUUCUCCGGUGCCACUGUUCGGAGGCCAACGGCCGGACGGACCCUUGAUUAAGCCGAACUGCCGCGCGGGCUCCGGAUGUAAAAUCCCGGGCAGUCGUGAGAUGAUUAAGGCAAUGCAGAUGAAGAAAAACCUAGCAAACCUGACAAUUCGAACUGCCUAAGAGAAAGCUGCAGAGAUAAAACGAGAAACAGAACAUGACCUUGUUGAAGGCA